GUCCACGCCGUAAACGAUGGAUACUAGCUGUUCGGGGCAACCUGAGUGGCUAAGCGAAAGUGAUAAGUAUCCCACCUGGGGAGUACGUUCGCAAGAAUGAAACUCAAAGGAAUUGACGGGGGCCCGCACAAGCGGUGGAGCAUGUGGUUUAAUUCGAUGAUACGCGAGGAACCUUACCAAGGCUUAAAUGUAGAUUGACAGGACUGGAAACAGUUUUUUCUUCGGACAAUUUACAAGGUGCUGCAUGGUUGUCGU
rnacentral:rRNA from 1 species